AUAUUUGUCUAGACUUGCCUAGAUCAAAAUUUUGGUUAUAAGGGGAAAGGUCUAUUACUACAAUACGUUAUAGCUAAUUUUAAUUUGAAAGGGUUCAGUUUUUUUAUACACCCUGUAUAUUUUAAUUAUUCCAGACAGUCACAGGUACAUGUUAUAAUAGUUCACCUGCAAUUUAUCACAGAACGCGUAAUUUGGAUGUACAUAUGCAGUGGAAAUUCAGAUUGCAUGCCUUCAUCAGUCCUAUUGACUAAAAUGAAUGAACAGUAUUAAAAUUGAGUUAGGUUCUAUUCUUUCCGUCAAUAGAGACCAAAACUCAAAUACAAAUUAAUAAUCAAGUCCUGUGAUACAUCUAUUGAAUUAAAUUUUAUACUUAUAAUUAGCUCAGUGGACAGUGAUCAACUCGGUUAAAUGUCUUAAGGCUGGUUAAUUUACACUAUCACAGUUUCUGUGAUCACGGUAGGACUAUUUUACAUGGGUAAGUUCUAAGUUUGGAAGGAUUUGUAAGAAAUGUUUGAGGAAACCGACUCAGUGUUGAACAGUAGAGAGGUUAAGAUACGGUGUACGGGUACGAGUAGUGUCAUCUUGUUUUACUGAUGUCUGUAUUUCGAUCCGGCAUACUUUUUCUGUUUUCUUG